rnacentral:rRNA from 1 species
AUACAUGAGCAAAAUCUCAACUUUAUUAGAAGAGACGCAUUUAUUAGAUAAAAAGCCAGUUCAUGCUUUUAUAGUAUGAAAAUUGGUGAUUUAUAAUAACUUAGCAAAUCGCAAAGUGAAAACAGGCGAUAAAUCAUUCAAGUUUCUGACCUAUCAGCUUUCGACGGUAUGGUAUUGGCUUACCGUGGCAGUGACGGUUAACGGGGGAUUAGGGUUCGAUUCCGGAGAGGGAGCCUGAGAAACGGCUACCACAUCUAAGGAAGGCAGCAGGCGCGCAAAUUACCCAAUUCUAACAGUUUGAGAGAGGUAGUAACAAGAAAUAACAAUACAAGGCAGUUAAAAUGCUUUGUAAUUGGAAUGAUAGAAAUUUAAACCCUUUUUAAAGUAUCAAUUGGAGGGCAAGUCUGGUGCCAGCAGCCGCGGUAAUUCCAGCUCCAAUAGCGUAUAUUAAAAUUGUUGCAGUUAAAAAGCUCGUAGUUGAAGUUCUGCUGAAAGUAACCGGUCUGCUUUUAAUAAAAGUGGUAUCUUGGUAUGUAUUUAGCAAUGAUGUCCUUUGAAGUGUUUUUUACUUUAUUGUAAUAAAGCAUAUUCAGGACUUUUACUUUGAGAAAAUUAGAGUGUUUCUAGCAGGCUAACGCUUUGAAUACUGCAGCAUGGAAUAAUAAG